rnacentral:rRNA from 1 species
ACUCGAGUGGCGAACGGGUGAGUAACACGUGGGUGAUCUGCCCUGCACUUCGGGAUAAGCCUGGGAAACUGGGUCUAAUACCGGAUAGGAGCCAUUUUUAGUGUGAUGGUUGGAAAGUUUUUCGGUGUAGGGUGAGCUCGCGGCCUAUCAGCUUGUUGGUGGGGUAAUGGCCUACCAAGGCGGCGACGGGUAGCCGGCCUGAGAGGGUGGACGGCCACAUUGGGACUGAGAUACGGCCCAG